rnacentral:rRNA from 1 species
UACGGGGGGGGCAAGCGUUGUUCGGAAUUACUGGGCGUAAAGGGCUCGUAGGUGGCCAACUAAGUCAACCGUGAAAUCCCUCGGCUUAACCGGGGAACUGCGUUUGAUACUGGAUGGCUUGAGUUUGGGAGAGGGAUGCGGAAUUCCAGGUGUAGCGGUGAAAUGCGUAGAUAUCUGGAGGAACACCGGUGGCGAAGGCAGGUUGCUGGGCUGACACUGACGCUGAGGCGCGAAAGCUAGGGGAGCGAACGGG